rnacentral:rRNA from 1 species
UACGAAGGGGGCUAGCGUUGUUCGGAAUCACUGGGCGUAAAGCGCAUGCAGGCGGAUCGCUAAGUCGGGGGUGAAAUCCCGAGGCUCAACCUCGGAACUGCCUUCGAUACUGGCGAUCUUGAGUCCGGGAGAGGUGAGUGGAACUCCGAGUGUAGAGGUGAAAUUCGUAGAUACUCGGAAGAAGCACCAGUGGCGAAGGCGGCUCACUGGCCCGGUACUGACGCUGAGAUGCGGAAAGCGUGGGGAGCGAACAGG